rnacentral:tRNA from 1 species
GCCCCUGUAGCUCAAAUGGAUAGAGCGAAGCACUCCUAACGCUGAGGUUGUGGGUCCAAGUCCCGCCAGGGGCAC